rnacentral:lncRNA from 1 species
GGAGGAGCUGCCGCCGCUCCCGCCUUCCCGCCUCAAACCCGGCUCCCGGCGGGCUUGGCUGCGUUCCCGCCCGCUCCGCGCCGGCGGCGGAGGAGGCGCUGCCCCGCCGUGCCCGAUCCGCCAACGUGGAGGCGGCCGCCGGGGCAGGUGCGGGCCGCGCUCUGCGGCAGCUUCCCUCGGGGCCCGAGUGCCGCGCCGAGCGGGGCCCCUCAUCCAGCGCUCUUUGUGGCGCCGGAGCGUCUUCAGAAGUGGGUUGUUUUUUUUUUUUUUUUUGAGCCGCCAGUUUGGGAAUGGCAGGGAACGUCACCGUGAACUGUGAGAGAAGGGGAGCGCAGGGGCUGCGGAAAGAGCGAAGCUUGUCUGACACAGGCGUUGGGUUCAGGACACUGAGUUGUUUCCAGAUAUGGGCCCCUUGGAGGACAGUGCUUGAAAACCCACCUUUUUUUUUGCAGCCUUUUAGCAGUUCCGUGCAGAGAGCAGGUCAGGAGCUGUCAGAGAUCAUCCCUCAGAGCCCAGGGUGGGGGGUUGCCCACAUACGGCUUUGAGUGACAGCCUGGAUCUCCGUUCUGGUAACGGCACCCACGGCAGUGAGACCAGGCCGGUGUCAUGCAGUGCUGAGCAGGUGGCAGAGGCCGGGUCCUCACAGCCGGCCGGGAGCCUCCUUCACCAAGGGAACAGGAGCCCGCUGCCUGCUGCUGAUACAUGGAGCAUGAAGCUGUGAGCAAUGCUCACUGGAGGAGACCGAGCAUGGAAUGGUUUGGGUUGGAAGGGACCUAGCUUGCCUCGCGUUUAGAUACCAGCCUGCCUCGUGCCAGCCUG